CAUAAAUACCGAAAAGCUCGGGUUUUCUAGAUUAAUAAGGUUGAUUGUCGACCUCUUGCUCGGCGUGUUAGCAGGAGUCAACGGAGUUCUAUCCUGACUACACUAGAGAGCAGUUAGUGCGCGCCGUGAUUAAAUUGGGUUGACGGUGAGGAAAAGAACCACUUUUGGACGAAUGAAAACUGUGUGUUAGUAGGUUUGAUAUUCGCUUUAAAACUAUCUCAAAGUGUGCAACGUACAGUCACACUUUAUGUGAGAAAAAGGUCCAACAAAGGGCCUUUUUCUUUGUAUUACAUACAGUUAUUCGCCAGGAUCAAAGACGCCAUUGUGUUCCUCGGCGCGAUCAGGAUUGAAUAACCAACAAUAGAACUGGUGUUGUAGAAAGUCUCCGUGGCUAAGCAAUCUAGAAAUAGACUAUACCACAUCCAUCCAAGGGAAACAUUCGCACCACCACUCUCAGCAGUCGAGAGAGGUGCGUGUUGUCUGUCGGUGCUCUGCAGAUUGAGGAGAGGUUUAUUGCACGGUUGGAAGGAAACUGCAUGAACCAGAAACAGAAUUGAAAUCAUCGUACCACUCGCACCGCAGAUAUCACGUCAUCGCCACCCACCCUGAUCCGUCGCCGUGAGCCACAUAAACCUUAUAAACUUCAUAAAACCGCAAGUAGAAGCAUGUGACGUCACAUUUAGAUUUAAAAUAAGUAUACAGAAGAACCUUAUAUAGGAUAGUUAAUUUAUUCCAAAAGAUUAUUAUGUUGUUGUUUGUUGUUCCAAGUAA